ACAUUUAUUUAUUUAGCUUUGCCAACUAGGGCAGGGUCACCACAACAGCAUAUGCCAAUUACUGUGGGCCCUUUUUUACCUAACCCACCCUGUCAACUUUCCCUGUGGGAGGAAACCGGAGUACCCGGGGAAAACCCACGGCUUUCGGCAGAGCGUUGACUUUUACUCUUUCCACAUGGGGACUGGGUCCGAGUCGCACUGAGAAGGUACUUAGUGAGACUCGAACCUGCAGCCUCAGAGGUGAAAGGCAAGUGCGCUAACCACUUG